AAGGGGGGACGGAGAAGGCUAUGUUGGCCGGGCGACGGUUGUCCCGGUUUAAGCGUGUAGGCUGGUUUUCCAGGCAAAUCCGGAAAAUCAAGGCUGAGGCGUGAUGACGAGGCACUACGGUGCUGAAGCAACAAAUGCCCUGCUUCCAGGAAAAGCCUCUAAGCAUCAGGUAACAUCAAAUCGUACCCCAAACCGACACAGGUGGUCAGGUAGAGAAUACCAAGGCGCUUGAGAGAACUCGGGUGAAGGAACUAGGCAAAAUGGUGCCGUAACUUCGGGAGAAGGCACGCUGAUAUGUAGGUGAAGCGACUUGCUCGUGGAGCUGAAAUCAGUCGAAGAUACCAGCUGGCUGCAACUGUUUAUUAAAAACACAGCACUGUGCAAACACGAAAGUGGACGUAUACGGUGUGACGCCUGCCCGGUGCCGGAAGGUUAAUUGAUGGGGUUAGCGCAAGCGAAGCUCUUGAUCGAAGCCCCGGUAAACGGCGGCCGUAACUAUAACGGUCCUAAGGUAGCGAAAUUCCUUGUCGGGUAAGUUCCGACCUGCACGAAUGGCGUAAUGAUGGCCAGGCUGUCUCCACCCGAGACUCAGUGAAAUUGAACUCGCUGUGAAGAUGCAGUGUACCCGCGGCAAGACGGAAAGACCCCGUGAACCUUUACUAUAGCUUGACACUGAACAUUGAGCCUUGAUGUGUAGGAUAGGUGGGAGGCUUUGAAGUGUGGACGCCAGUCUGCAUGGAGCCGACCUUGAAAUACCACCCUUUAAUGUUUGAUGUUCUAACGUUGACCCGUAAUCCGGGUUGCGGACAGUGUCUGGUGGGUAGUUUGACUGGGGCGGUCUCCUCCUAAAGAGUAACGGAGGAGCACGAAGGUUGGCUAAUCCUGGUCGGACAUCAGGAGGUUAGUGCAAUGGCAUAAGCCAGCUUGACUGCGAGCGUGACGGCGCGAGCAGGUGCGAAAGCAGGUCAUAGUGAUCCGGUGGUUCUGAAUGGAAGGGCCAUCGCUCAACGGAUAAAAGGUACUCCGGGGAUAACAGGCUGAUACCGCCCAAGAGUUCAUAUCGACGGCGGUGUUUGGCACCUCGAUGUCGGCUCAUCACAUCCUGGGGCUGAAGUAGGUCCCAAGGGUAUGGCUGUUCGCCAUUUAAAGUGGUACGCGAGCUGGGUUUAGAACGUCGUGAGACAGUUCGGUCCCUAUCUGCCGUGGGCGCUGGAGAACUGAGGGGGGCUGCUCCUAGUACGAGAGGACCGGAGUGGACGCAUCACUGGUGUUCGGGUUGUCAUGCCAAUGGCACUGCCCGGUAGCUAAAUGCGGAAGAGAUAAGUGCUGAAAGCAUCUAAGCACGAAACUUGCCCCGAGAUGAGUUCUCCCUGACUCCUUGAGAGUCCUGAAGGAACGUUGAAGACGACGACGUUGAUAGGCCGGGUGUGUAAGCGCAGCGAUGCGUUGAGCUAACCGGUACUAAUGAACCGUGAGGCUUAACCUU
rnacentral:rRNA from 1 species